AAACUAGUAGUUUAACAGGUUAAAACAUUUGUUUGUCAAACAAAAAAGUACAAGUUCAAUUCUUGUCUAGUUCG